rnacentral:rRNA from 1 species
GAUGAACGCUGGCGGCGUGCUUAACACAUGCAAGUCGAACGAAGCAUUUAGAACAGAUUACUUCGGUUUGAAGUUCUUUAUGACUGAGUGGCGGACGGGUGAGUAACGCGUGGGUAACCUGCCUUGUACUGGGGGAUAGCAGCUGGAAACGGCUGGUAAUACCGCAUAAGCGCACAAUCUUGUAUGACAUGGUGUGAAAAACUCCGGUGGUAUAAGAUGGACCCGCGUCUGAUUAGCUAGUUGGUGAGAUAACAGCCCACCAAGGCGACGAUCAGUAGCCGACCUGAGAGGGUGACCGGCCACAUUGGGACUGAGACACGGCCCAGACUCCUACGGGAGGCAGCAGUGGGGAAUAUUGCACAAUGGAGGAAACUCUGAUGCAGCGACGCCGCGUGAGUGAAGAAGUAAUUCGUUAUGUAAAGCUCUAUCAGCAGGGAAGAUAGUGACGGUACCUGACUAAGAAGCUCCGGCUAAAUACGUGCCAGCAGCCGCCGUAA